rnacentral:rRNA from 1 species
UGAGGAACAUGACCUUCGGCGGGGGAUAGCCGGCCCAACGGCCGGGUAAUACCGCGUACGACCUUUCGGGGACAUCCCUGAAUGGUGAAAGCAAGCAAUGCGCCGAUGGAGUGCCUCGCGGCCUAUCAGCUAGUUGGUGGGGUGAUGGCCUACCAAGGCGAUGACGGGUAGCCGGCCUGAGAGGGCGACCGGCCACACUGGGACUGAGACACGGCCCAGACUCCGUACGGGAGGCGG